GUCAGAAGAAUCAUAGACAUUUUGGAUAAGGCCCACCAGGACCGGGUCUCUCUCCUGACUCUGUCGUUAGAUGCUGAGAAAGCCUUCGACAGAGUCAGGUGGGAUUACCUGGGGAAGGUCUUAAAGGCAUUUGGUCUUGCUGGCAAUAUAAUUAAAUCUAUAAUGGCCCUAUACUCUUUUACCACAGCGAGAGUAAUGGGUGAGGGUUUUUCAUCAGAAUGGUUCCAACUGAAGAACAGAACCAGACAGGGUUGUCCAC